AUUGAACGCUGGCGGCAUGCCUUACACAUGCAAGUCGAACGGCAGCGGGCCUUCGGGUGCCGGCGAGUGGCGAACGGGUGAGUAAUGCAUCGGAACGUGCCAUUGAGUGGGGGAUAACGUAGCGAAAGUUACGCUAAUACCGCAUAUUCUGUGAGCAGGAAAGCAGGGGACCGCAAGGCCUUGCGCUCUUUGAGCGGCCGAUGUCAGAUUAGCUAGUUGGUGAGGUAAAGGCGUUACCAAGGCGACGAUCUGUAGCGGGUCUGAGAGGAUGAUCCGCCACACUGGAACUGAGACACGGUCCAGACUCCUACGGGAGGCAGCAGUGGGGAAUUUUGGGACAAUGGGCGCAAGCCUGAGUCCAGCCAUGCCGCGUGAGUGAAGAAGG
rnacentral:rRNA from 1 species